rnacentral:tRNA from 1 species
GGGCGCGUAGCUCAGCGGUAGAGCUCUGGUUUUACACGCCAGCGGUCGGCGGUUCGAUCCCGUCCGCGCCCACCG